UACGUAGGAGGCAAGCGUUGUCCGGAAUUACUGGGUGUAAAGCGCGUGUAGGUGGUGGGCCAAGUCUGUGGUGAAAUCGCCCGGCUCAACUGGGCGAGGUCCGUGGAAACUGGUCGACUGGAGGACGGUAGAGGCGAGUGGAAUUCCCGGUGUAGUGGUGAAAUGCGUAGAGAUCGGGAGGAACACCAGUGGCGAAGGCGGGUCUCUGGACAGUUCCUGACACUGAGACACGAAGGCCAGGGGAGCAAACGGG
rnacentral:rRNA from 1 species